CGAUACGACCGUACCGCAAACCGACACUGGUGCGCGAGAUGAGUAUUCUAAGGCGCUUGAGAGAACUCAGGAGAAGGAACUCGGCAAAUUGACACCGUAACUUCGGAAGAAGGUGUGCCCUAUUAGUGUGUAGUGAACAACGAAGCAUGAAUGGGUUGCAAAAAAUCGGUGGCUGCGACUGUUUAUUAAAAACACAGCACUCUGCAAACACGAAAGUGGACGUAUAGGGUGUGACGCCUGCCCGGUGCUGGAAGAUUAAAUGAUGGGGUGCAAGCUCUUGAUUGAAGUCCCAGUAAACGGCGGCCGUAACUAUAACGGUCCUAAGGUAGCGAAAUUCCUUGUCGGGUAAGUUCCGACCUGCACGAAUGGCGUAACGAUGGCCACACUGUCUCCUCCUGAGACUCAGCGAAGUUGAAAUGUUUGUGAUGAUGCAAUCUCCCCGCGGAAAGACGGAAAGACCCCAUGAACCUUUACUGUAGCUUUGUAUUGGACUUUGAACAGAUCUGUGUAGGAUAGGUGGGAGGCUUUGAAGCAGGGUCGCUAGAUCUUGUGGAGCCAACGUUGAAAUACCACCCUGGUGUGUUUGAGGUUCUAACCUAGGUCCAUUAUCUGGAUCGGGGACAGUGCAUGGUAGGCAGUUUGACUGGGGCGGUCUCCUCCCAAAGCGUAACGGAGGAGUUCGAAGGUACGCUAGUUACGGUCGGACAUCGUGACGAUAGUGCAAUGGCAUAAGCGUGCUUAACUGCGAGACUGACAAGUCGAGCAGAUGCGAAAGCAGGACAUAGUGAUCCGGUGGUUCUGUAUGGAAGGGCCAUCGCUCAACGGAUAAAAGGUACUCUGGGGAUAACAGGCUGAUACCGCCCAAGAGUUCAUAACGACGGCGGUGUUUGGCACCUCGAUGUCGGCUCAUCUCAUCCUGGGGCUGUAACCGGUCCCAAGGGUAUGGCUGUUCGCCAUUUAAAGAGGUACGUGAGCUGGGUUUAAAACGUCGUGAGACAGUUUGGUCCCUAUCUUCCGUGGGCGCUGCAGAUUUGGGGAAGCCUGCUCCUAGUACGAGAGGACCGGAGUGGACACACCUCUGGUUAUCGGUUGUCACGCCAGUGGCAUUGCCGAGUAGCUAAGUGUGGAAGAGAUAACCGCUGAAAGCAUCUAAGCGGGAAACUCGUUUCAAGAUGAGAUCUGCCGGGGCCUUGAGCCCCCUAAAGAGUCGUUCAAGACCAGGACGUUGAUAGGUCAGGUGUGGAAAC
rnacentral:rRNA from 1 species